CGCUACAUCUCUUGCAACAGAGGCCACCAUCGAGAAGUGUAUUAACUUAUUGGUAACUAUUCCUGGCAUUUCUGAGGGGAGCAAAAUUUUCAACUUCUCUUUAAACCUGCUUGUUAAGAAAGAGAUACGAGAGAUAUUUUUCAAGCUACAUACUGAUGAAGGUCGAAAAUCUUGGUUGGAGUAUAACUAUCAAUCAUACUUGAAGAAGCAGCAAUAAUAUGUUAUGCAUAUUGCAUUAGUAUUUCUAAAACUAGCUAUUUGAUUGUUUCAUUUAGAACUCGAACUAUGUACUUUCAUGGUUAAUUUUCUUACUCUUUCAUGUUUAGACUUUAUGAUUGUUGGUUUAAACACUUUUUUAUUGUUAUAUUUUAUUAAAUAAAUUGUUUCUUUUUAUUUCGCUAUUGCCCAUGGUUACCUUUUUUAUUAUUUUAUUUUCAGUUAAAUGAAAAAUUGGGACAUUAAUAGCAUGAUAUCCAAUCAUCCAAGUGAUUGGGACAUUAGCAACUUUGUAUCCUGUUAUCCAAAUGAUAUGCUAGAUGAUGGAGAGAAAGAAGAUGAAAUGCAAGAAGAAAUAGAGAAACUUCAAAAUGAGCAAGACGAAAAGGAAUGGGAUGCAUUAUGUGUAAUAACAAGUAAGUGUAUAUUGAUGUAUUACGAGAAAUACAUAUGCAAGAUACCUUGUCGUACAUCUAAGCGCACUGGAUAUAUUUUUAUUCAAGAGAUAUUACAUAGAAAUGAGAUGCGUUGCUAUGAGAAUUUUUGACUGAGAAAGUCAGUAUUUAUUAAUUUAUACCAAGAUUUAACAGACAACUAUGGUCUUCAACCCACACGUGGAAUGUCUGUGUACGAGAAGCUAGGCAUGUUUCUUAUAAUUUGUGCACAUGGUGCCGGAAAUCGAUUGAUACAGGAGAUAUUUCAAUACUCAGGAGAAACAAUUCAUAGGCACUUUCAUAGUGUUCUAAAGUCCAUUAGUGAGCUGGCCAGAGAUAUUAUUAGACCGCACUUAAAUUAUAAUGAUGGUGUAGGAGAUCAUAAGCCAUAUAAUCGACGAUAUCUCCCUUUCUUUAAAGUAAGUAAUAAUUUUAAAUAACUAGCUUUACAUUAUAGCUCAAAAUUUUAAUAUUGCAAACUUAUAUUAUAUUUUUGUAUUUAAAUAUUUACAGGAUUGUAUUGGAGCACUUGAUAGUACACAUGUGAAAGCAAGAUUAUCGCAGGGCCAAGAGAUACCUUAUAUAGGCCGUAAAAGUUAUCCAACUCAAAAUAUUCUUGUUGUUGUCGACUUUAAUAUGUGUUUUACAUUUGCAUGGGCUGGGUGGGAAGGAGCAACUCAUGACAGUCGUAUAUUUGGUGAGGUCCUUCGUAGAUCAGAGCUUAACUUUCCACACUCAUUGGGAAACAAAUAUUACCUAGUUGAUGCAGGGUAUCCACAUAUGAAGGGAUAUAUGGCUCCAUAUAAAGGGGCUGAUGUGAGAUACCACCUAGCAGAUUUUCGUCGAGGUGCGACACGAUAAGUGCGAGCACCAAGAGGAAGGAAAGAAAAAUUUAAUUAUUUGCAUUCUUCAUGUAGAAACAUUGUGGAGCGUACAUUUGGGGUAUGGAAAGCGAGGUGGUCUAUUUUGCGAGAUAUGCAUUAUUACGACAUUGAUAUCCAGAGGGAUAUCGUCAUUGCUACUAUGACCAUUCAUAAUUAUAUUAGAAAGAAAUGUAAGGUGGAUGAUGCAUUUCGAGCAGCUGAGGAUGAGAGAUAUAUUCCAUCUGUUGAGCAUGAUGUUGGCACAUCUCUGGGGGCAAAUAGUGUAAAUGUAGAAAAUAUGGAAAAUCAAAGUGACAACAUUUGGAUGGCUACUCGUGAUGUGAUUGCUGAUGAUAUUUGGCAAUAUGCUGAACGCCUACAUUAGCUAUUUCCAAUUUUGUUUUGGACAUUUUACUAGGUAUAGAUACAACUCUAGAUAUUUUGGUUAUGGUUCUCUAGCCUCUUUUGAGAAUAAUGGAGCAAUUGAGUGAUUUGAUUCAAUCCAACUGUCUUGAUAGGGUAGUGACAAUAUUGUCAUUGUGGAUCCCUUUCUUUGUUUGGAUUUUAUGUAGCAAAUUUCAAGUUGUGUUGCUGAGACGACUCUAAUUUAUUGUAUAUUUCAAAAAUAACCGUAAUGCUUUUUAAAAAAUACUUUAUAAAAUAAUUUAUAUUUAUUAAAAAUAAUCGUAUCAAAACAAUGUAUAACCUAACGUUAAUUGAGACAUAACUUAAUUUGUGUUUGAAUUAAUUUAAAAUUUAAAAUAUUGCAAUAACAAGCUUAUUUUUCGCUUAAUACUUUUAAGGGUAUUUCAGUCAUCUUAAUAGAAAAAGAAAUUUUCAGCACUUUUUACCAAACUCAGCUGCUUAUUUUCAGCUCCAGCUCUUUUAUCCAAACACGUAACUGCUUAAUUAUAAAUUCAGCUCCAACACUUAAAAAGUGCUUUUAAGUACUUAGUGCUUAAAAGCUACUUAAAUUUAGCCAACCCAAACGGGCUCUGAAUCAUAUAUUUUUAGAACCACAAAAUCAAAUCUAAUUGUAAUUAUCAUUUUCAAGGUAAACAGUUUGGUGCCCACCGUGGGGCUAAAUAUAAUAGUGAUUGUUUUGGUGCUGGUUCAUUGAAAACACAAGUUAUUAUUCAUACUUUUUCUUGUCCAAGAAUCUUUGGUUUCAGGUCAAAAUGUCUAACUCAGUGGAUGCACCUGAAAACAACGGUCCUGAGGACCGUGGAGAGAAUGGUGUAGUUGUUCCAGGCGCCGGUGUACCACAGCGAAACCCUGAGGACGCCCCAGAACCGAUCCCCACGGAUGUGGGCUCACGCAACGCCCAAUACAUCGAUGUAAGCUCCCACACUAACAGGAGUAUACGCCAAGAGAACCAACAAGAAGCUUAGAAAACCCCAGUUCGGAAGGAAAGAGAGGCAAACGGGAGGAACGGAAUGGGAAAAUCUCAGCACAUCGUCCAUAUGAUCAUUGGGGGGAAUGACGUUCCUCAAGGACCCGCGAACAAGCAGACAAAAGUUUCCGCAGCAAAAGAAGGGCAAAUUCGGGGCCGCAUGCCCGAGGACAUCCUUGCAUUCAGUGAAAAAGACUUCGAAACCUUGUCUCAUUCACAUAACGAUGCGCUGGUAAUUUCAUUUCUCUUGAAUAACAAUCAAAUUAAACGUGUACUCGUGGAUCCAGGUAGCUCGGCCAACGUAAUCAGUGUCACACCUCCUUUUUAUCACCGCCGAAAGGGAGUAUAAGAGAGUUUUUUCCAAUUUAAGUGACAAUCAAAACAUAAUUAUUUUAUUUAAAAAUCAGAAUUGGUAUUUGGGAUAAUUUAUGGUGUCCCAAGUCAUCGGUUUAAAUCCCGAAUCGUGAAAAGAUUGACUAUGUUUUAUAGUCCACAAAACACAGAAAUCCGGGUAAGGAAUUCUGUUAACCCGGGAGAAGGUGUUAGGCAUUCCCGGGUUCCGUGGUUUUAGCACGGUCGCUCAACUAUUAUUAUUGGAUCAUUUAUCUGAUUUAAUUACACAUUUUAAACCUAUGUGCUCUUUUAACUUUUUAGCCGCUUUUAAUAUUUCAGAAAAUUUUAAGGUUCUUUAAAACACAUCGUAAGCCACGCUACAUGAAAUGCACCCGCGGUCACGACACGUUCUAUUUAAACUUGUUGGAAAUUAAAAGCCAGGUCACAUGAAAUGUACACCCGGAUUUGAAAAUUGUGUAUCGCAACUACGUCACGGGAACCGUACCCGUAGUCGUGAUAAUUUAUUAUUGAUUGCACCUAAAGAAAGCUACAAUGUUUCAUGAAUGUUUAGUUCCUAAUUCAGUGAUUGUGUGUGGAAAGACAUGUGAUUAUGGAGUACUUUUACUAAAUGAGAUUUUAUGCUCAUGUUCAGUUUUAUUUCAUGUAUUUGGCUAAGCCCAAUUUCUAAACAUGUAAACAAUUUAAUCACUAAAGAGAUUUGGCCUUUCCCAUUCCCCGCAACCCUGUUCACCCAUUUAAUCGAAUUGUCCACACUAAAUAAUGAUAAAGAAACGUCAACAAAAUAAUUAUUCAAAUGACAUAUACUCCAGUAACGUGAACGACUAAACCAAGAAUACUAAGAAAUUAAAAGGUAAAGCAAGUGGAUAAAAUGAUAAGAUCUAUGAGGCACCUCCCUGGACAAACUAACUUCCUAAUUCAAUUCAAAGUUCAAAUAUCAAAGAUGUAUUUCACUAGUACUACUCAAAUGCCACCCACGUCACAUGCUUCUCACAAAGAAUUUCAUGAACAUGUUUUAAAGAAAAGCAGAAAAAGAUAAACAAAUGACUGGCACCAUUGACACUUUAAUUACACGCAAGCACUUUAAAUAUAGUAGGCUCAUAUUAUAUUUCAACCACAAGGUUCACAAGAAAAAUAAAGAAAAGGAAAAGAUAUGAACCUGUAAAUUUGAGCUUCAAUUGACUGAAAUUUUAAGCAAUUACACAGGCAAAAUGAACCACUGCUAUGGCUGAGAUUGAAAGCGUACGGAACUCGAACACAGACUUCGAACAACACCUCAAUUCAAACGACCUCAACACAAAAUGCGACAAUGACUCGGGACUCGGAGGCAGGAAGAGUAUCUCAAUUUCCGGCUACUUCGUUUUCCCCCUUUUCUAUUUGAAUUCUUUUGUCCCAAAACUGAACUUUCGCCUUAGUAGAAGAGAGAAAUGUCAGCAGUUCGAAUGUGGUCGGAUAUUGUUUAGGGGUGGUAAAGGGGUUGGUGGAUUGGUAAUGGAUUUUGAGUUAAGGAAAAGAGAAGGUUGUUGUCUCAUUCAUGGAAUUGGAAGGCUUGAUGUGAAUGUAUAUUUGUGUUUGUGGUUUCGUCCCUUUUUUGAUCAUAGAUCACUGAAUACAAAAAUCAAUUUAAAAUUGCUCCACAUAUAGCAUCAUACAGGACUCAUCUUCACUCAGAACUCACAAUGAAUCCCACCUACCCCUCUAAGCUUCUUACAUUGUUUUUCAAACCAAAUAAGUUUAAACUGCUAAAUUUCAUCAUUAUUGUACCCACAAUCAAGAAGCCGGAAGAAGGUCGCCUUAGCUUUCUCUAGUUGUAUGUAUCUGUGAUUUUUGUGAAUGUGCCCAGAAAAUUCGAAGAGGUUGAGCUGCCGUUUUUUCUUUCUUUUUGUCUAGGUCUCCUUUUAGGUCCUUGGGUCUUGCAUUGUUCUUAUAGGGUUUUUUUUAGGUUAAGG
rnacentral:lncRNA from 1 species